AGAAUUAGAAAGGCUUGACUAUGGGAAGGCUGUGUAAUAUUGAACUGUUUACUAAAAGAGCUGUUUAACUUUAGGUAAGCUAAAUGACUAUUGAAGUCUUUCAUCAAUGAGGUUCAAGACUGUAAGCCUGGAGAAUGUGAAGAAAUGGUUUAGGCUGUGGAUGGAUGGAUGCAGCAUGACAGGAUGGCCGGAUUCCUCAGAUGGAGACAGGACCUCCAGGCAGAACCAGAUUAAUGUCUUAUCAGAUAAGAUGGAAGUAUUCAGGACAUAUAGUGAAUUGUAGGAACCUGACGUUUAAAAGAUUC